rnacentral:rRNA from 1 species
GAUGAACGCUGGCGGCGUGCCUAAUACAUGCAAGUCGAGCGAACAGACGAGGAGCUUGCUCCUCUGACGUUAGCGGCGGACGGGUGAGUAACACGUGGAUAACCUACCUAUAAGACUGGGAUAACUUCGGGAAACCGGAGCUAAUACCGGAUAAUAUAUUGAACCGCAUGGUUCAAUAGUGAAAGACGGUUUUGCUGUCACUUAUAGAUGGAUCCGCGCCGCAUUAGCUAGUUGGUAAGGUAACGGCUUACCAAGGCGACGAUGCGUAGCCGACCUGCGAGGGUGAUCGGCCACACUGGAACUGAGACACGGUCCAGACUCCUACGGGAGGCAGCAGUAGGGAAGCUUCCGCAAUGGGCGAAAGCCUGACGGAGCAACGCCGCGUGAGUGAUGAAGGUCUUCGGAUCGUAAAACUCUGUUAUUGGGGAAGAACAAAUGUGUAAGUAACUAUGCACGUCUUGACGGUACCUAAUCAGAAAGCCACGGCUAACUACGUG